AGGGAAUCUUCCACAAUGGACGCAAGUCUGAUGGAGCAACGCCGCGUGAGUGAAGAAGGUUUCGGACCGUAAAGCUCUGUUGUUGGUGAAGAAGGAUAGAGGUAGUAACUGGCCUUUAUUUGACGGUAAUCAACCAGAAAGUCACGGCUAACUACGUGCCAGCAGCCGCGGUAAUACGUAGGUGGCAAGCGUUGUCCGGAUUUAUUGGGCGUAAAGCGAGCGCAGGCGGAAGAAUAAGUCUGAUGUGAAAGCCCUCGGCUUAACCGAGGAAUUGCAUCGGAAACUGUUUUCUUGAGUGCAGAAGAGGAGAGUAGAACUCCAUGUGUAGCGGUGGAAUGCGUAGAUAUAUGGAAGAAUACCAGUGGCGAAGGCGGCUCUCUGGUCUACAACUGACGCUGAGGCUCGAAAGCAUGGGUAGCGAACAGGAUUAGAUACCCUGGUAGUCCAUGCCGUAAACGA
rnacentral:rRNA from 1 species